GGGCUAUUGCUCAGUGGUAGAACAUCUGUUUUGUAUGCAGAUGGUCCCAGGUUCGAUCCCUGACAUUUCCU